ACUGCCAGGCCGGACCGAUCGAUCGCCGGUUCAAUUCCUAAAGUAUUCAAUGAAUGUGAUCGGUUCUAAGGGAACUACCGAACAAGAGAUUCGAUUCAAUCAGAAAUGAGUUCAACUGAUUCAAUUGAACCGACACAAUGAACGCACGGGAGUGAUGGAGGCGUUGUGGAGGAAUGAAGAGGGGGGAGAUGAUGACACCUGCUGACAUCUCAAUGCUGAGGACGAUGAGUCAGGAGACAAACAGCAUCCCAGACAGACUGAACAGCAAACUAAGGUCAAACAUUGAAUUGUGUUUGAAACACAGAUACAGAUGCAUACCUCCCAUAUGCUGUCACACUCACCAAGACAAGUGUGCACAGACGUGUGUGAUACAGUAUGCAUACUAACUGCCAUUUGCUGAUGAUGUCGACGAUGAGCAACCAUUGAACCAUCCUGAAGCUCAAAGAAGAACAGAUGUGUGUGAUGAGACACUGACAUUCAGAUCCAAUAGAGAUGAAGGGUGGAGGGGUACGGGAUUGGCAAAGGACGUCGAGCCGGGAUUGGAACUCAGGUCACCAAAAGUGCAUCUGCACCAUAUGCCCACUACACCAUCGGCUCCGACUUCAUCAUUUUGUCUGUUCUUGAAAAAAUGUCACGAAAUCCAUUGAAACAUUUCUACACUGUAAUAAAUACACAGCAUAUUUGCCAAAUCAAAAUAUGUUUUGUUACUUUAACUAAAAAAAAUCAAUUUCAAUUUGAUGUUACUUUUUGAGUUAGGCUAUGUCACCUUUUCACAAGCCAAAACUUAAAAUAGUAGGCUGAAUUGACCUGCAAAACCAAGUUGUUUUAACU